AUUGAACGCUAGCGGGAUGCCUUACACAUGCAAGUCGAACGGAGUGGCGAACGGGUGCGUAAUGAAUCGGAACGUGCCCAGUAGCGGGGGAUAACUACGCGAAAGCGAAGCUAAUCCAGCAUACUAUUGGAGCGGCCGUUAUCGGUUUAGCUAGUUGGUGGGGGAACGGCUCACCAAGGCGACGAGCCGUAGCUGGUAUGAGAGGACGAUCAGACACACUGGGACUGAGACACGGCCCAGACUCCUAUGUGAGGCAGCAGUGGGGAAUUUUGGACAUGGGGGGAAACCCUGAUCCAGCCAUCCCGCGUGUGCGAUGAAGGCCUUCGGGUUGUAAAGCACUUUUGGCAGGAAAGCGGUACCUGCAGAAUAAGCACCGGCUAACUACGUGCCAGCAGCCGCGGUAAUUC
rnacentral:rRNA from 1 species